rnacentral:rRNA from 1 species
GACGAACGCUGGCGGCGUGCUUAACACCUGCAAGUCGAACGAAGUGGCGAACGGGUGAGUAACGCGUAAUCAACCUGCCCUUCAGAGGGGGACAACAUUUGGAAACGACUGCUAAUACCUCAUACUGAAGGAUGCGAUUGCGUCUGAUUAGCUCGGUGGGGGGGUAACGGCCCACCAAGGAGAUGAUCAGUAGACUGUCUGAGAGGAUGAACGGCCACAUGGUGACUGAGACACGGCCCAGAGUCCUACGGGAGGCAGAAGUGGGGAAGCUUCCGCAAUGGACGAAAGUCUGACGGAGCAACGCCGGGUGAGUGAUGAAGGCCUUCGGGUUGUAAAGCUCUUUUAAUCGGGACGCGGUACCGGAAUAGAAAGCCACGGCUAACUACGUGCCAGCCGCCGCGGUAAUUC